rnacentral:rRNA from 1 species
AGGGUGUAAACGCUGCGGGCUUGGUGUUGGGGGUCCUUAGUGGGCGCCCAGUGCCGGAGAGAAGUUGUUAAGCCUGCUGCUUGGGGAGUAUGUCCGCAAGGAUGAAACUUAAAGGAAUUGGCGGGGGAGCACCGCAACGGGAGGAGCGUGCGGUUCAAUUGGAUUCAACGCCGAAAAACUCACCAGGAGCGACGGAUAUAUGAAGGUCAAGCUGAUGACUUUACCUGAUUUUCCGAGAGGUGGUGCAUGGCGUCAGUGACU